CGCCAGCCCAGGGUCCCAGUGUCUGUUUGUCUGCGAUCUGUCUGUGACUCUGCAUUCUCUAUUGAAUUCGUCCAUUUAUUCAUUCAGUGACUAUCUGCUGAGGACCUGCUAUGUGUGCGUCACAGUGAGGGGUGCUGAGGUCACCAGGAACAAGAGCAAGUCCUCACCUUCAUGGGACAAGGACAAUUAAGGAACAGGUGGUCCAUACACAGAUUAUUGCAGGUGGAAGUGAGUAGGAGGAAGAUAACAAAGUGGGGAGGUAAGAUGGAGAGUAAUGGGGGCCACCCACCCUAAGGCUACUCUGAGGAGGGGACCCCUGAGCUGCGAUGCUGUGGAGCUGAGGGAAGGGCACUGCAGGCACAGGGAACAGCAAGUGCAAAGGCCCAGUGGCAUGUCUGGGGAGCAGGAAGGGGCCGGUGUGGCUGGAGCUGAGCUGAGGGGGAGACUGCUGGCUGUCCUUGCAGGGCCUUGUUGAUCAUAGAAGGAUUUUGGAUUCUGUCAUCAACUUCAUGGAAAGCCAUGCAGGCUUUUCAAAUUGGAAGGCAACGCAGUCUCUUUGCAUAUUAAGACUGUGGCUGCCAGUGGCAGCGUCCAGACAGGUGGUCCCACCUUCCUGCCUGGGCCACAUCAUGUGCCCUAGUCUCCUGAUCCUCAGCCCUGUCCUCCCUCGGCCCCAUUCGAGUCUUCCAUCCUCUAAGGUGCUCCCCAUCCAGGGGCCUCCCGCCCUCCACGAGCCCUUGUUAUAGGCCAAGGCCCAGGCAGAGCUGGGACCAAGUUCUGGUUUGGCUUCCAGCCAGCAGAAUGAGCUUCCUUAUCUGGAAAAAUGGAUGUCACCUUGUUAGUGGGGCCCUUGUGAGAAUUAAGUGAGAAAAUGCUGGGUUCUGCCUGGGGCCCGGCCAACCCAGGGCUGAGGACUGGGCACCUGCUGCAUUGGGAGCCCUGAGAACAGCGCCCACCGGCCCGUGCUGUCUUCCCCGAGCCCCUGCUCAGCUCCGCGGUAAGAACUUGUGGAUUCUUGAGCUGGAUUUUCUCCACCCCGUAUCCACUCACACAGCUGGCCCUGCAGCUGGGAAAGACAGUCAGGAUGGCGCUGGUACCUGGUGAGGUCAACCAAGCCGCAGCUUUACGUACCUUUUAUGAGCUUGGCAGGAGAAGCCGAGCUGGGUGUUAUCAGGAAACACAACAGUGUCAUAGAUCACACCAGGCAGAUAGCCUCUGCCAGCUCAGAAGGCCUCAGAAGGUGUUUCCGUUCCUUGUGGAGUGUGCUGGACCUGGGGGGGACAAGCCCUGUUAAUCAGAUGGGCACCAUGGAGCCCACCUGUAA
rnacentral:lncRNA from 1 species